rnacentral:rRNA from 1 species
CCUUUGUACACACCGCCCGUCGCUACUACCGAUUGAAUGGCUUAGUGAGACUCUCGGAUUGGCGUUAAGAAGCCGGCAACGGCAUCUUUUGGCCGAGAAGUUAGUCAAACUUGGUCAUUUAGAGG